rnacentral:rRNA from 1 species
GAACCUUACCUGGGCUCGAAAUGCCGUCGCAAGCCUCAGAGAUGAGGUCCUCCCGCAAGGGACGGCGGUAUAGGUGCUGCAUGGCUGUCGUCAGCUCGUGUCGUGAGAUGUUGGGUUAAGUCCCGCAACGAGCGCAACCCUCAUCCUUAGUUGCUCGCCCGCAAGGGAAGCACCCUAGGGAAACUGCCUCCGAUAAGGGGGAGGAAGGUGGGGAUGACGUCAAGUCCUCAUGGCCUUUAUGUCCAGGGCUACACACGUGCUACAAUGGGCGGUACAAACCGUUGCCAACCCGCGAGGGGGAGCCAAUCGGAAAAAACCGCUCUCAGUUCGGAUUGCAGUCUGCAACUCGGCUGCAUGAAGCUGGAAUCGCUAGUAAUCGCAUAUCAGAACGAUGCGGUGAAUACGUUCCCGGGCCUUGUCACACCGA